CGGUCGCCUCGCCUCGCCUCGCCUCGCGGCGCUCCAAUCUACUGCGAGAGAGAAGAGAGAAAGAGAGGCGAUUACGAAUUGAAACAACAAAUCGCCAUGAACGCCGCCGGCUCAAACAACCACACAGAUCCGAUCCGAUCCGAUCCGAGAAGACAACGCAUCGGGAGAUCGAAGCCCACCAACCACCCAACAAAUCAACUGCCCCAAAUCCAGCAACAUCCCAACCCGAUCCACGAAACGCCCCCCACCCCCAAAUCAAUCCCCCAACCCCACAACGCAAGGAACGCACCUGUACAGCUCAAAUCAACCGGCGGUGGCGGCGGCGGCUGGAUCCGUGAAGCACCGAGCACCGAGCACCGAGCACCGAGCCAAGCAGAAUCAGACCAUCCCAAUCCCAAUCCCAGAAAAAUCCCCUCCUCCUCCUCCGCCUCAGCCUAAGCGGAGAAACGGAGCUGCAUCCGCGUGCGGCGCCUAUAUAUAGAUAGAAGCGGCCGCAGGAGAGCAGGAAGGGGGGGGGGGGAUUCUGCUGCCGCCGCCGCUGCUGCUGCUGCUGCUUCUUCUUCUUCUUCUUCCUCUGCCGCCGCUGCUGCUGCUGCUGCCGCCGCCGCUGCUUUUCUCCUCUCUCUCUCUCUCUCUCUUUUGUGCGCCGCUGCCGCUGCCGACUGCCGCUGCCGCUGCUGGGGGACUUGGGUGUACUUGGGAUUCUUCUCGAUUUUAUAUAUUUUUUUGUUUUUAUAUUUUUUUUCUUCAAUGUGUAUGUUUUUCUU
rnacentral:lncRNA from 1 species